UAGGGAAUCUUCGGCAAUGGACGAAAGUCUGACCGAGCAACGCCGCGGGAGUGAAGAAGGUUUUCGGAUCGUAAAACUCUGUUGUUAGAGAAGAACAAGGACGUUAGUAACUGAACGUCCCCUGACGGUAUCUAACCAGAAAGCCACGGCUAACUACGUGCCAGCAGCCGCGGUAAUACGUAGGUGGCAAGCGUUGUCCGGAUUUAUUGGGCGUAAAGCGAGCGCAGGCGGUUUCUUAAGUCUGAUGUGAAAGCCCCCGGCUCAACCGGGGAGGGUCAUUGGAAACUGGGAGACUUGAGUGCAGAAGAGGAGAGUGGAAUUCCAUGUGUAGCGGUGAAAUGCGUGGAUAUAUGGAGGAACACCAGUGGCGAAGGCGGCUCUCUGGUCUGUAACUGACGAUGAGGCUCGAAAGCGUGGGGAGCAAACAGG
rnacentral:rRNA from 1 species